rnacentral:rRNA from 1 species
UACGUAGGUGGCAAGCGUUGUCCGGAUUUACUGGGCGUAAAGGGCUCGUAGGCGGCCAACUAAGUCAGACGUGAAAUCCCUCGGCUUAACCGGGGAACUGCGUCUGAUACUGGAUGGCUUGAGUUCGGGAGAGGGAUGCGGAAUUCCAGGUGUAGCGGUGAAAUGCGCAGAUAUCAGGAGGAACACCGGUGGCGAAGGCGGUUCUCUGGGCAUGUCCUGACGCUGAGGAGCGAAAGUGUGGGGAGCGAACAGG